rnacentral:rRNA from 1 species
AUUGAACGCUGGCGGCAGGCCUAACACAUGCAAGUCGAGCGGAUGAAGGGAGCUUGCUCCUGGAUUCAGCGGCGGACGGGUGAGUAAUGCCUAGGAAUCUGCCUGGUAGUGGGGGAUAACGUCCGGAAACGGGCGCUAAUACCGCAUACGUCCUGAGGGAGAAAGUGGGGGAUCUUCGGACCUCACGCUAUCAGAUGAGCCUAGGUCGGAUUAGCUAGUUGGUGGGGUAAAGGCCUACCAAGGCGACGAUCCGUAACUGGUCUGAGAGGAUGAUCAGUCACACUGGAACUGGGACACGGUCCAGACUCCUACGGGAGGCAGCAGUGGGGAAUAUUGGACAAAGGGCGAAAGCCUGAUCCAGCCAUGCCGCGUGUGUGAAGAAGGUCUUCGGAUUGUAAAGCACUUUAAGUUGGGAGGAAGGGCAGUAAGUUAAUACCUUGCUGUUUUGACGCUACCAACAGAAUAAGCACCGGCUAACUUCGUG